GGCAAUUAUUCCUGUAAUGGUUUUUUGUUUANCCNUUNANNGCCUAAGGAUGGGUCUGCGGCCGAUUAGGUAGUUGGCUAGGUAAUGGCUUACCAAGCCUUUGAUCGGUACGGGUUGUGAGAGCAAGAGCCCGGAGAUGGAACCUGAGACAAGGUUCCAGGCCCUACGGGGUGCAGCAGGCGCGAAACCUCCGCAAUGUGAGAAAUCGCGACGGGGGGAUCCCAAGUGCCAUUCUUAACGGGAUGGCUUUUCAUUAGUGUAAAGAGCUUUUGGAAUAAGAGCUGGGCAAGACCGGUGCCAGCCGCCGCGGUAACACCGGCAGCUCUAGUGGUAGCAGUUUUUAUUGGGCCUAAAGCGUCCGUAGCCGGUUUAAUAAGUCUCUGGUGAAAUCCUGCAGCUUAACUGUGGGAAUUGCUGGAGAUACUAUUAGACUUGAGAUCGGGAGAGGUUAGAGGUACUCCCAGGGUAGAGGUGAAAUUCUGUAAUCCUGGGAGGACCGCCUGUUGCGAAGGCGUCUGACUGGAACGAUUCUGACGGUGAGGGACNAAAGCUAGGGGCGCGAACCGGAUUANAUACCCGGGUAGUCCUAGCUGUAAACGAUGCCGGACUUGGUGUUGGGGUGGCUUUGAGCUGUCCCCANUGCCGAANGGGAAANCUGUUAACUCCNCCCGCCUGNGAAG
rnacentral:rRNA from 1 species